GAAGUGAAACCUAUCUUCAGGUAGCGGUUUGGUGAAUAUGUCAUGUCAUUGGUGUUCAAUGUCUACAACUUGAAUGUUUAAUGCUCUUUUUUGAACAAAGUCCAUAAUAAAGUGGUGUUUGAUCUCUAUGUGUUUAGCUCUAGAAUGUAAAAUAGGGUUUUUGGUAAAAAAAAAAACGGUAGAAGUAUUGUCGUAGUAGAUGGGAAUGUUGGAUUCUAGGAUUUUGUAGUCUUUAAGUUGAUAUUUCAUCCAAAGUAGUUGAGAACUACAACCAGUUGCUGAAAAGUACACAACCUCUGUUGUUGACAUUACGAUGGUGUUUUGUCUCUUACUUGACCAAGAUAUUAAGUUGUCACCUAAAAAUGUGCAGUUGCCACUAGCGCUCUCUCAAGUUUAUCUCCAGCAUAAUCAAAAUCACAAUAUCCACUAAGUUUGUACUUAUGAGAUUUCUUGUAGAACAAGGUAAGGCUGGUAGUGCCUUUUAGGUAUCUAAGAAUUCUAUUAACAAUAGUUAAAUGUGAUUCUCUAAGGUCAGCUUGAAAUCUUGCACAUACACAUACAUUAAACGUGAUGUUAGGUCUGGAAGCAGUAAGGUAAUAUAGGGAUCCUAUCAUUCAUCUAUAGGUUUUUUGGUCAACUUUUUUGCCUGAAUCAUCGUUUUCAAAUGAACAAUAUGGUGAAUUGGUGUAGCCAUAGAUUUGCAAUCACUCAUCUUAAACUUCCUAAGAAGCUCUUUUGUAUAUUUAGUUUGAUGAAUGUAUAUACCCUUUUUACUUCGCUGAAUUUGUGUCCCUAAGAAGAACUAAAGUUCUUCCAUCACACUCAUUUGAAAUUCAAGCUACAUCAAUUUAGAAAAUUCUUGACAAAGAGUGCCAUUAGUAGCUCCAAACAUAAUAUCAACAUAAAUUUGAAUAAUGAGAAUGUCAUCUCUUAAUGAUUUUCUAAAGAGUGUAUUAUCAACAUAUCCUCUUUCAAAGUUAUUUUUAAGCAAGAAGUUACUACGUCUAUCAUACCAUGCCUUAAGGUACUUUUUUUAGAUUAUAAAUAGAUUUCUUAAGUUAAAAAACAUGAUUUGAAAAUUCAGUACUUUCAAUACCUGGGGGUUGUUUAACAUAGACUUCUUCACUUAAAUAACCAUUUAGAAAAUCACUUUUAACAUCCAUUUGAAAUGAUGUAAUGUUAUUAUUUUUACAAAAGAAAGUAGAAUAUGACUAGCUUCUAACCUGGCCACCAGAGCAAAUAUCUCAGUGUAAUUAAUGCCCUCUAGCUGAUUAUAGCCUUGUGCGAUAAGUCUUGUCUUGUUUCUGACCACUUCACCUUUUUCAUUUAACUAGUUUCUAAAAACCCACUUUUUCAAAUAAUAUUUCUCUUUGGUCUAUGUACUACAUCCCAAACAUCAUUCCUCUUAAAUUCAUUUAACUUUUCUUGCAUUGCAAGAAUCUGUCCAUCAUCUGCCAAUGCUUCAUCAAUAGUGGUUGGCUUAAUUAACAAGAGUGAGCCAAACAAAGUGGUAUCUUAAAUGAUGAUAUGAUCCUCAAAGGAUCACUUGAACUUCUAAUGAGAUGAGAUGUCUUGUACUUCAAUCCAGAUCUUCCUUUUGACUUAUCUUGACUGAUACUAACUUGAUUAGAUUUAUCCUAUGAAGAUUUGUCAUCUUCUAAUUUGUCUGCAGCUACUUCCUUUGGUUCCGAUAUGCCUACAGUAUCCUCAACUUGCUAUGAUUGUAUGCUACUUCAGCUAAAGUGUUCAGAUUAUGGGUAUCUCCUUAUUCCUCCACAUUUUUUAGAACCUGCAAAAUACUUAUCUAGCUUUGAUUUUUAAGAUUAAGCUUGUUAUUAUGGUAUCAAACAAUAAUUAAAUUUAAGGAAAGAUAUCACCUAUAUGUUAACAGUUUCAGUUUCACUCUGAAAACCCUAUUAGUUCUUCUUUUCUGGUUUCUAGAUUCGGAGUUUGCAUAUUCUCUGAUUAGGAGUCUGGAUGAAGGGAUUUGACUUUCCUUCCAAUUUGUAGUCUUGAUGAAUUUGAUUGGAGUUUUCAAAGAAGACUCCUGAUUCUAAAUUUUCAAUUGACACUUCUGUUUUUGUUGAUGUAUCGAGUUCCUUUGGUAAUUUUGGAACUAAUGGUAAUUCUAACUCUUUUGGUAGUUUCAGUUCUAUUGAUAUGUGUGAUUUCUCUGUCAGUUUUGAUUAUCUCGAUACUUCAGAUUUUUCUGAUAUUUCUAGUUCAUCAUAUGGUUCUGGUUCUGAUAAGUAUUGUGUUGACCAUUCCUUCUUCCACCAGAGUCAAUUGGCUUCUGUUUAGUAGGGCUUGGAACAUAGACCUUUUUGCCUUCAUAUAUUGCAAGCAUCCAUUGACCUGGCGCCAUGACUAAUGUUUCAAUUUGGUUGCUUAGAACAUCUACAACAUAAACAAUUUUAUCCAUUGGUACUCAAAUCUGGUUAGGUUCUGGUUUGUUAAAUGUUAAAGAUUUCUUGUCUUUCCAUGUGGUAAACAUAGGACUAGAUAUUUUAGUGUGACCUUUCUUAUAGAAAAUAGUACAUAAAUCAUCAAAUGGAACAAACUUAGGUUUAGUUCAUAUUUCUUGAAAUUCUAUUCCUCUUUUAUCAUUCCUACUAACAACAUAAAUCAUAGAUGCAUAUUUGCUUCUUUCCCNNNNNNNNNNNNNNNNNNNNNNNNNNNNNNNNNNNNNNNNNNNNNNNNNNNNNNNNNNNNNNNNNNNNNNNNNNNNNNNNNNNNNNNNNNNNNNNNNNNNNNNNNNNNNNNNNNNNNNNNNNNNNNNNUUCCCUACCAUUAUCAAGAAAAUCCUGAAAUAUUUUUUCAUUCUUAUAAAAGUUACAUGUGGUAUUUUCAAUUGAUGUUAAACUAUAAUUAUUUUUCAGAGUUAGAUUUUCAGCCUAAAGUUCAUCAAUAUCAGUUUUCAUAUUUGCAUUUUAUGUUUUAAGUUUAGUAAUAUCAGUUUUCAGAGUUGCAUUAUUUGUCUUAACUUUAGUAAUGUUAGUUUUAAGAGUUGCAUUUUCUGUUUAAAAUUCAACACUUUGAUUCUUUAAAACAUUAGCUUUUUUAGUUAGAUUUAUAUAUUAUUUCCUAAGUGUUUUUCAGUUUUAAAGACAAUUUGUGAUUCAUUUAAAAAAAAUCAUUUACAGCAGUAACUAAAGCAGAUUGAGUAAAGUCAAAAAAUACCUCAAUUUGUUCAUCUGCUGAUUCACUUCAAGAGUAAGAAUUUGUGUUGGAUCCAGAGGCAGAGUAGGUAUGAGUCAUCAUAGCCAUAUCUGGUUGUUCAUCGUUAGAUGAUUCCUCAGAAUCAUCCCAUAUAGCUCUCAAACUCUUCUUCUUGGGUAAGGAGUUUUUCCUCGAUUGUUUUCCUUUCUCCAUAUUUGGACAUUCUAACUUGAUAUGUCCAAGUUCAUUGCAUUCAUAGUAGAUUAUGCUUUUCUUGUCAUAUUUAUCAUCAUUACCUUUGUUGAAUUGCUUGUAAUAUCUUUGGGGAAUUUUCUUCUUUCUGUUAUGCCACAUCUUCUAAACUUUUCUACAUAUAAAUGUCAAUUCCUCUUCCUCUAAGUCUUCAUUGUGAUCAUCUGAAUCAUCAUCCUCUGAUUCUGUUGUUGCCUUCAUAACUUUCUUCUGCUUGGAUUUCAAAGCCACGGUUGGUUGUUUCUUCUUGGGUUCAUCCUCUACAAGGUCAAUUUCAUGUGAUCUGAGAGAGCUGAUUAAUUCUUCCAGCUUAAGAGUAUUCAGAUCAUUUGCUUCUUGAACGACUGUGAUGUUAGGUCUCCACUAGUUUGUCAGACUUCUUAGAAUUUUCUUCACAUGAUCAACAGUAGUAUAACUCUUCUCAAGUACCUUUAAUCUUAAGACCAGGGUUUGGAAUGUGGAAAACAUUGUUUCAAUGUCUUCAUCUUCUUCCAUCUUGAACAAUUCUUACUUUUUGACUAGGAGGUUGACCUUUGGUUCUUGAACUUCUUUGCUUCCUUCCUAGGUCAAAAUCAGACUAUCAUAAAUACUCUUUGUUGUCUCCUUGUUAGUGCACUUGUCCAACUCCUUGAAGGUGAUUGCAUUUAUUAUGAAUGUUAUGGACUUAUGAUGCAUCUUGUAUAUAUUCUUCUCAUCAACAUUCAUCUCUUUUCUUGGAAUUUCAAUACCAUCAGUAUUCUUCAGAGCAAUAUAACCAUCGUCCACCAAGUCCCAAAGUUGAGGAUCUUGUGAAAUAGAGAAACUUCUCAGCCUGUCUUUCUAAUACUCAAAACGUUCUCCAUUAAACGAAGGUGGUUUGUUGAUGUUUCCUCCAACAACUUCUUCAUUAAAUCUAGACAUAUUGAACCCUUGGAUCUUUUCUCAAACACUGUAAAGUGCUCAGCAUUGAGACCGAGAUCUGAUGCCAAUUGAAGGUGCAAACACGAGAAGCGGGGUUAAAUUUUGUUUGAUAAAGUUGAUGACUUUUUGUUAAUUUGAUGAAUAUUGGUUGGUUUUUAUGAAUUACUUAAAUAAGAAGCAAUCAGAUUCAAAAGCAGUAAACAAUGAAAGCAUAAAUAAUUUGAGACAUAUAUUUAUCCUGGAUCAUCACUUGCUUGACUACAUCUAGUCCCCUCAUUCAAAAGGCUUUAAUCCACUAAUUCAAAUAUAUUGAAUUACAAAAUAUCUGGCCCUCAAAGCCAGUCUUCCCAAAUAGCUUGACAACCCCAGACUUUUAAUGAACUAACCACCUUAGCCGUACAAGCCAAGUCUUCUCCUAACAACUGGACAACCCCAGAUUGAAGAAUGAACUAAACUACUAUCCAGUUGGAUACAAAAGAUUGGAACUUGAGUAGUUGCUUGUAACGAAGCUGAUAAUAAUAAUAACUCUUACACUAUAAGAAAAGAACACUCAGAAAAUAUUUCUAACAUGAAUAAGUGUUUCUCUAUUUGAACUCUAACAUGAAUUGAGAACUUUGAGCUUGUGUUCGUUUACUCUUUUCUGAUUUUUGAUGUUUUUCUCCUUCAUUUGGGCUUCAAUUUAGUCCUUAUUUAAUUCUGAGGCUCCUUGGAAAAUGAAAGACAUGAAUGAAGCUGCUUGGACAAAAUGAAAGACAUGAAUGAGGCUGCUUGGAAAGAUGUGAUGAAACUUCCUCCUAGAACAUGGACUAGGUCUGCAUUUUUCAUUAGUACACAAUGUGACCUACAAGUCAAAAAUAUGUGUGAGGCAUUCAACAAGGCGAGAUUGGAGCAUAGACAUAAACUAAUAAUAACAUUGCUUGAGGGUUUAAGGCACUAUAUUUAUGAUAAGAUUGUCACCCAACAGGAACAUAUGUCCAAACAUAUGGGCAACAUAUGUCCUAAGAUACAACAGUUGCUGGAAAAUGAAAAUAAGGCUGCUGAAGGUUAGAGUCCACGUUGGAUGGCUGAUGAUCCUUAGGAAAUGUUUGAAGUGUGCAACAAAUAUGAGACAUAUAAGGUUAACUUAGGAGCUAAGACAAGUGCAUGUAGGAAGGGGACAUAACAGGUAUACCAUGUUGCCACGUCAUUUCUUGCAUGUGGCAUAACAAUGUUGUCCCAGAGGAUUUUGUUUCAUCAUAUUACAGGUAAUAUAAUGGUAUUGUUUUUAUCUUUUAAUUAAAUAUGAUAAACCACAUUCUGACUAUAGUUUUAAUGUUUUAGGAAAAACACAUUUAUGUCUACAUAUGGAUACACAAUGAAACCAACAAAUGGUCCUACUAUGUGGUCUACAUCAAAGAGUGAACCAAUAAAUCCCCUUAUAAUUAGGAGAGCACCAGGCAUACCCAAGAAACAAAUAAAUAAAAGUAAUGAUGAAUCCAAAAGGUCAAACAUACUACCAAAAGCACUUCCGACUGUGAAAUGCAAAAAAUGUGGCAAGCUUAGGCACAACAAAAGGAAAUGCAAAGGUAAAACUGUUGCUAAACGUGAAAUUCUAAAAGGUGAAAAUAAAGUAAAAUUUUUACUGCUCAAUAAUUGAUGCUGAUGUUCUUAUAAAAUUUUAGUUGAUGCAUUGCUAAACCGCUACUUAUUCAAUAAUUGAUGUUGUUGUUUUUAUGUAGAGGACAAAGAGAAAAUGAAUAGAAGCAAGUCAAGGUGCACAUGUAGAUCUACAAGCACCUCAAGGAUCACAAGCAUCAAAUAUUGUAUUAACUCAGAGAUCACAAGCACCAAGUCAAAUUACUUAGGGUCGAAUGGCCUUAUAUAUGGCUUUAAUGACAUAAUUUUUUGUUUAAGCAUAAUAUGAAUAUGCAGGGGCCUGACUUCUAAUAUGUAAUUGCACUAUUAUUUUGUUUGAUUCUCUAAUUUUAAAAUGGCCUUGUUAUUUUGUAUGACAACUAAACUGACCCUUUUAUUUUGUACGACUUUGCUUGUAUACAUUACUAUUGUAAUUGUUGGUUUAAUACCAAACUGGUUUAAUUUGUGUUUAUUCUAGUUUAACUUAUUUAUUUUCUAUUUUAAUUUGGGUCUGGUUUAUAUUGGUACUAGUUUAAUUGAGACGGAUUUGUAGUGGAACAUGUUUAAUUGAGACUGGUUUAGGACUAGUCAUAUUCAGACUGUUUAGUUAGGAGUAGUUUAUAUUGAUAAUGGUUUGGGACUAGUUUGGAACUGAUUUAAUUGAGACUGGUUUAGUUAGGACUGGUUUGGAACCGAUUUAAUUGGGACUCGUUUAUAAUGAGACUGGUUUGUGACUGAUUUAAUUGGGGCUGGUUUAUAAUGAGACUCAUUUGGGGACUGGUUUAUGACUGAUUUUAAUGACACUGGUUUGGGACUGAUUUAAUUGGGAUUGGUUUAUAUUGAACAUAGACAUUACAUCUUAUUUGGAAUUGGUAUAGAACUAUAUAUUUGACAACAUUUAACACAAAAUAACAAGCAAAAUAAAUUGGCCACAUGCACCCAAUUUGACACAUUAUUUGGCAACAUGCACACAACUUGACAAUUUAACACACUAAUUUGACAAAUUAUUUUUCUAAGUUAUUGACACUGGUUUCAUUAUAUCAGUUAGAACAUUUGACACAAUUACAACAUUUCAUUAAAAAGAAAAUUAUUUGAUUAUAUGAACAUAGUCAUCACAAUUACAACAUCUUGACAAAAAUAACAAGCUAUACAUAAACCUAAACAACAAGCUAAGCAACAACCUAUUAAAAAGCAUGGGUUGCAACUAAGGCAAACACAAGUAUUACAACAAACACCUAAGGCAAACCAGAAGAAAAAAAUUUAUAUGAAAAGAAUCUAUAAGUCAUUUUAUUUGUGAUUCUAGAUCUAAUGAUGAAACGGGUUCUGACAGGUCCAACAGAGAUAAAGCUUCCUUCAAUUUGCAUUAUUCCAGGAAGGAACUCUUAAUUUUAUUUCUAUCAUCCACAAGCCAUCUUAGUCUCUCUAGAAAAUCAAGCAUUUUGGGUUGAUACCAUUCAACAUGAGUCAAUAUUUCUUCUACUUGCUCAAAAGUUGUAUUAUUUUGUUGCAAUGAAUUAUACAGCGAUGCAACCAUAUUUUCAUUUAGGCUAACUCGUCUUUCGUAAGUUCAACAGCUUCUAGUUCAGCUGGCUUCUCCUGCAAUUUGCUUAAUCAUUUCUCAAGCUCAUUGGGUUUAUCAGCCAAAGACAUCUUUAGUGAAUCUCUCUAUUGUACCAAUGCAUUUCUUUUUGUCACAAGGUGUUUAUUUUGAGGUCAUUCUUUGUCUAACUGAGGACCUGACAAUGUAUAAAGCAAAUUACAUACAAUUUAGAAAGUAUAUAAAUCAAAUCAUAGUUAUUUAGAGAAAAUAUGCAACUCCAAAAUGGGAAAUAUUAUCUCAAAUAGGAAAUCUCUAAACCCAAUUCAAAGCUAGCAUUAAAAACAUUAAACCAUUCACGAAAGCCCUAAACCCCAUUCAAAAUAUUAAACCAUUCACAAAAAAUCUAAACCCCAUUCAAAACUAACAUUAUUAGAUAGCAACCAAUCCGAACACACAUGACAAACCACAAAAAUCACAUACUUUGAUAUAUACUUUUCAUCCUCUUUUGUCCAUGAAGAAAGUAUUGAAUCAUGUGGAUUACUUGGAGUUCCAUCGCAAUUGAGUUUCGCGAUGGAUUUCUUGAAUUGAUUACAAACUACACAGAAAACAAGAAUGAGACGACAAUAAAUGUAUUGUUCUUUUUGACUUGCAAUAUGAUAUAAAUGUUAUGAGCAAAGUCUUCUAUCUUUCUCUCUCAUCAUUUUCAUUUGGACAAAAUUGUCAUAAGUUGGAUAUCAUCGUCAACUUCGUCAAUUUGAAAAAGUUAAUUUUUUAUCUCUUGAAAAUAUGUCCAUUAAGAAGAAGAUUCGUUGAGGAUGAGCAUAACAUGCUACGACUUUACAAGUAGUUGUUUGAAUUUACACAUUUUACUAUGUUAGCUUUUAGACUACAUUAUACUUAUUUCUAUAGAAUUUGAUAUCUGCCAUGAUUCCUGUGUUUUUAGAGUUACAUCAUCUGAUCAUAAAAGAAGCUUAGACUAAAUUUUUUUUUUUUUGACAUUGUAUAUGUGAAUUUAUCUUUUUAUUCUAAGGAUAAGUAUCAAAUAUAAUGUGAACUAAUGUAUUUAUACCAAAGCUUCACCAGACCAUUGGUGAAUAAAGUCACUUGUUCAUUGGUUGACAAUAUAUUUUAUGUGUUUCGUACAUAAAUAUUUAUUACUUUGUCACAACUUCUUAUGUUACUUAUGUAAGAUGUAUUCUUUCUAUGUUGUAAACAAUCUUCACACUUAAAGUAACCAAUUAAUGAAUAAUAUUUAUCUUUCUUAGUUAUCAUCACAACAUCAAUAGUAGGUAUGUGGUUCUUACAAUUGUGUGAUCUCACCAUAAAAGUAUAUGUCUCCUUUAUUGAAUAAAUCAUUUAAUGUAUGUAUAUAAUUAAUCAAAAAACUUUUAUUCAUCAACUUAUUCUUAUAAUUUAGAACAUACACGUAUACUUACAUAUAUACAUACAUACAUAUGUACAUAUACAAUAACAAAAUCAUUCUUAAGCACGCCAUUUAUUUCCUUACAAUUUUUUUUCAUUGUUUACUAUCCAUCCCUUGUACUUUAUUUAUUUCCUUGCAAUUUAUCUUUCUGCAAUUUAUUUUAUAUGCAAUUUACAUUUCCUACACUUUACAACUCUUGCACUUUACAUUUAUUGCAUAUAGGGAUGAUUGAAGUAGAAAUGUUAAUUUACAAGGAAGGGUGUUUGAAUUGUAAAUUCAACUAUUUAAAAUUUCCUAUAAAAAACUUACGAAAAUAACUCAAGAUCGAUCUUGGUUGUGAAAUCAGAAAACGGAGAACGUUCUUGGUUAGUUAAAAUUGACAAUUUAGCUUAUCUAUUUAACUUGAUAAUCAAAAAGACUGAAAGUAAAUAGAAAUAGGNNNNNNNNNNNNNNNNNNNNNNNNNNNNNNNNNNNNNNNNNNNNNNNNNNNNNNNNNNNNNNNNNNNNNNNNNNAAAGAGAUAUCACACAAUGAUAUAUCAUGGUUCACCCUACUCGAGCUACGUUUAGUCCUCACAACUGUGAGAUUUUUCGCUAAGCGUUCAAACAAAGAAUGUUCUUGGUUUUACACAGUUUUGUUCAGAUCAACCUUGAUUUGUAACAACAAUCUCUUUCCACCUAGAAAAGGAUUCAACCAAGUCACCUAUCAAUAUUUAGAGAGGAUUUUACAAUUUAUCUGAAACCAUAAAAGGAUUUUCUACAAGUUACUCAAACUAUAAACAACACUUAUAGUCUUGAGUUUACACAAUAAUGAUUUAAAGUGUUUGCAGAAUUUGAGUAAUCUCAACACUUGUUUGAGGUUAGAUUCUUUACAAAAGAUUUAAUAAAAUAAUGACAAGAGAUUUGAGACUGAUUCUUUUGAUGGAUGACAGACUUUCGAGUGUAUGAAUGUAAGUAAGUGAUGCAUUUUCUUAGCAAUUGAAGUUCUUACUUUUCCUUGAGCUUGGGGUUCCUUUUAUAGGCUUCAAGGAGGUUGAUGAAAACUAUUAUGACCGUUGGAAAGGUGUCCAUCUGUCAUGUAUCAGAUUUGACUAAAGACCAAACUUUUUGAACUAUGAAUGUUCUUGGCUUGAAUAUUAUGCAUUUUUUCUUUUGUUAUGAUCCUUUGGUUAUGCACACAAAUAUCUCAGAGAUGUGCUUAAUGUAUUCAAAUCAAGAAUGUUUUUUGAUUCAUGCAAAUACAGGUUGGAGAAUGAUGUACACAUGCUGGAGAUUGAUUGUUAAUAUACUGGAGAAUGAUGUUAACAUAUUGGAGACAAAUGUUAACAUGUUGGAGAAUGAUGUCCGCAUGCUGGAGAAUGAUCAUUUGUCACUUUUGCUUUGAGUCAUGCCUUUUAAUCUUUGAUCUUUUGGAGUGUUUCUUUUGUUGAUGUGAAAGUAGUAUAUUCCUUGUAGAUGUAUUGGAAAUGCAUUCGUAAUUUGCAGGAGCCUUACUUACAUUAACAGAUGAUUUGAACUUGCUUAAUGAAAAUGAAAAAAUGUGGAGAAUGUUCUUGGUUUUUCUAGAAUUUGUCAAGAACGUUCUUGAUUCUGUUUUGUUAUUUUUUGCUUUUUCCUUUAACUGUUUUUACUUGCAUUGCUUAGUACCUAUAUUGAAUUAUUACACUCAUAAAUACAUGUUAAAUUAACACAUCAUUUAGAAUCAUAAUUAGAGUCUUUAAUUAACCUUUGUUUGUUUACAUCAAAACAUUAAUUUUAGAUUUUACCUCAACAAUGACAACAUAAUAUGCAUCCGCGAGUAUCCACUUGAACCCGUCUUGAUUUGGAUGGAGAAAAUCCACUCUGAUUGGGUGUCGGUGUGGAUUUUCUCUAAAAUUAAAAUUUGGAGACGGAGACGGAUUUGGGAUGUUGAUAUCCACCCCGCACCCGAACUCACUCUGCUAGUAAUAUUAUUGUAAAUUUUAAAUUUAAUAUACAUGUACAUAUUAAAUAUACUUAAUAUUUUUAAAAAUAUUAAAAAUUAUAAUCUCAUCUCUAUAAAAAAAUUAUUUUAUUAUUGUCUAAUAAUAAUUAUUGUAUUAUAUUAAUUAUAAUAGAUUUGAUUUUUAAUUUAUAAUUUUAUAUAUAUAAAUGAAUGCAGGUGUAGGCGGAGAAACCUGAACUCCGUUGCUGGCAGGGAUGGUGGACUAAAUUUCACAUCCACAAAAACGGAUGCCAGUUUUUUUCGAUUAGCCAGAGGCGGAAGUGGAGAGGUAAAAUUCGAUUGCAUGCAUCGAUUGAGCCCAUGCAUUCUUGUUUGGGUUCGUUCCCUUUGAAAAUUCUUUAAACCAAUAUUUUUGUCACUAAAAACGUGCAUUGUACCAUCAUUGGUCUUGGAUUUCUGCCAAAUUAAAUUUACACCAUCUUGCGUUGACGAGUAAUUCCAUUGCAUGACAUGAAAACUUUUUGUUUCAUUUCGUUUUAAAACCUUGUCAUGCAUUAAAGUACUUUUUGUUGCAUUUUUACUUUGAAAACCUUUUUUUGUUACAUAAUAAUUUCUGCAUUAAAAUCUCUUUUAUAUAACGAACAUUAUCAUUUUCAAUUCAGAUUCCAUUCCAUUGCAUUUUCGACAUAGUCAUUGAUAGGAACAAUUUAUCACAAAAUUGUGUAUGAGAAUUAGCCAUCAAAUUGCUUCAUUCCAGAUUGAUUGUAAGUCAAUUAAUAAAUGAUAAAAUUUGUUAAGAUUCCCACAUUUAAACAUUCUAUUUAUUGAUAUUUUGAUAGAUAUUUUACUAAACCUGUAAUAAAUGUUAACACUAGCCUUCUAGGAAGUUUGAUGUGACUUUUUUUUAUAGGAGAAGUUAGAUAUAUAUAUGUCUUGUUUGUUAGUCUAUUUAAAUUUUAUUUCAUAUUAGUGUCAAUUAAAUAAGUAAUAUAAAGUAUAUUUAAAUAGAUAGAAUUAAUAUACUAAAGAGAAUAUAUUAGCAUCGUUUGUUUAUUAUAGUUUUUAGAAAAUGAAAAGAAAAAAAACCAAAAAGUUACAUAAAAUGAGAAGCUACUUUGAAUAACUUCUCUUGAAAAUCCUUUGAUCUUGAGAUUAAACCACCAAACUUUGGCUUAAUUUAGAUGUCAUCUUUAAAAAAACAGGAUUUGAUCUAUAGUCCAAAUAAAUGUAUUUUAGAUUUUAUCGACUUUGUUGAUUCAAUUUAUAAUUAUAAAAGAUCCAUUAAUAUAAUAUUAAAAAACCACAUUGAAUUAAUAGGUUUUUAUGUGAAAUAUAAGAUAUAAUACACUAAAAAAUAACAUUAUCAAAUAAUAAUGAUUGAUUAUGUUUAAAAUGUUAAAAUAAAAUAAAAUAAAAAGUUUAAGCCAAUAAGUAUUAUUAGAAGAAAAAAAAAACUAUAACUAACAAAUAAUAGAUUAAUGCAAUAUUUCAUGCUAAUAAAAAAUAAAUGAUAGAGUUGGAGUUAGUGGAAAAUUGAAGGGUAAUGGUGGCAACCGUUUCGCUGCAUGUUAACAAGUCAAAAAAAUGAGUCUGAGAUCAUAAGUAUGAAAGACACUACACGAUCAAUACAUCUUACAAUUUAUUACGUGAUUAGAGAAACUUAGAGAAUUUACCUUUGUAUUAUAUCAUUUCAAAUAAGAGAUCUAGAGUUACAAUGGCAAAGUUAGGACAAAUUUGAUGGGGUGGUUAAAUAUAAAGAAAAAAAAUUAAAAACUAAUAUAUUAAACUUAACCAAUAAGCAAAAACAUUCACAAACGAUAUUAAGAUUCACAAAAAAACUACUUAACCUAUAAGAAAAAAUAAAUCAAAAUCAAUACUUUUUUAAAUGUAACUUAUAUCAACAACAAAGGAAAUAAAACCAAAAAAUUAGCUAUUAGAAAUAUUGAGGUUGACGACGUUUUCAAUAAAUUCAUCCAUGUAUAAUUUGAUUAUAUACUAUGCAUACUUUCGAUGUCGUUUUCAACGUAAUAUUUUCGAUUCUAUUUCCAACUUCUAAAAAGUAAUUUUUAUUUUAUUUUAAUAAUUCUAAUAUGAAAAUGGGUUAUAAAUACUACCUGUUGGGACUAAAUAAUAAACCAACAAAUUAAUUAUUAUUGUUAUAUUUCUUUGGACCAAUAAAUAUAUAUUUGAGGUAGUCAAACAUAUAUUAUCACUUAUCAGGGAUAUUAAAAUAUAAAGAUAUACAUACUCACUAAAACAAAACAAUAAAAACUUAGGGUAGCAUUGACUACCUCAUAUUUAAAACAAAAUAAAAACAUUUAAUAAUAUUUGAUUUUGUAUGAUUUUUCAAUUUUUUUAGAAUUUUUAUUUAAAUUGAUUUGGACUUGAUCAUCCUUAAACACAAGAUAGAUUAUAUUUUUCUUUAAAAUCUCUAAAUUAAUAAAUACCAAAAUCACAUUUACCACAUUUUUUUAUAAUCCAACAACAACUAGUCUAAAUUACCGAAAAUAUAGUUAAAUUAUUUUUUUAACACAAAUUAAAAAAUCUAAUAUAAUGAUAAUAAUAAUAAUAAUAAUAAUUAUUAUUAUUAUUAUUAUUAUUAUUAUUUGUAGCUAUUUAAAUAAAUCAGUUUGAUAUGUCCAAAAAUUAUUUUUAUUGACACAUAGCUUGACUUUUUUCCUAAAAAAAUACUUUCAAAGUUUGACAUAGGUGAUAGACCAAGUAAUUAAGUAUUUUUAAUCGGUCUGUAUUAAUUUCACCGAUGUCUUCACUCUAAAAUGAAUUAUCUGCUGUAUUAGAUAUAAUUUUUUGUUAAUAAAACUCGUUCGUCAUUAUCAAUCCCUAUUGAAAUAUUUCCACAAACAAGUAAUCACCUAUCAGCGGAGAAAAACAGAGUGAGCUUUUUGUCUUUUGACAAAUAGAGGAGUGAGUUAUUGAACAAAAAUCUAACUUUAGUUAAGUUUGUCUCCGACAUAAGCUAAGUAAUUGUCUCUUCUCACCUGAUCAGUUAUCCCCAAUGUUUUCACUCAAAUAAAUUAUCAACAAUAUUACUACUAUAUAUUAGUAAAACUUUCUUUGUUAAAAUUAACACUUUCUCAUUAUCAUCGAUCGCUAUUAAAAUAUGUUUUCAAACAAAUCACUAAAUAAACCAUCAAAAUUCGCUGUUGAAAUUGUAUUUCUACCAAAAUAUUUCGGUAAAUUUAUGCUAUAUCAAAAGGCUUUAUUAUUUUGUCCUACGCCAAUCAAAACAUUCAUUCAUCAAUGAGUUCUAUUACAUCGUAAAGAAGCCAACAACCAUUUCUUUUUUUCUAUUUCUUUUUUUUCUUAAAUUCAUAAAUUUCUCAAAUUAAUAAAUCAACAAAUCCAUAGGUUGCACCACCUAAUUUGACAUAAGGUCAAUUAUUUGACACCUUUAUGUUUUUUUUUCUUUCAUACCUCUUUAUUUAAUGUAUUGACUUUGUGUAUGCAAGAUGAUAUUGGUCGUUAUGGUUUGUUUUAUAUGGGUUGAGAAAGUUGAGAAACUAGAUUUACUUACUGGCAAUACAACUAAUGACAAUGAAGUGGUGUAGAGGGAAGAUGAUUGUUGAAAGACAAAGUUGUUAGAAAAAGUUGACAAAAUAUUCCAUGAUUUUAAUUACUUUAAGAAAAAGUUUAUGACAUGGAAAUCUACAUGUUUAUGUAUCACUAUGCUGAGGGGGGCAUUGAGGGUUUUUGAGAGUUCAGGUCUCCAAAUUUUUAGAAGUUUUGUUUUAUAUAGAAAGACUUAUGUUGUUUUCUACAAGACUUGAAAUUAUGUUGCAAAAAUCUUGAAAGUUAUUUAAAAUAUGACCCUUCUUAUAAUCUUGAGAGUGAAAUUUUGUUUCAACCAUUGAAGCAAAAUCAAGUUUUAUGAUAUUGAAUUCUCUUUAAACAUUCCAUUAUUUUCUAAUGCUUACACAUCACAUAAAAUAAUAUUAACUAUCUCUAUUAUAUAUCAUCUGUUGAGAAGAGUUUUUAAAAAUUGAAAUUAUUAAAAUAUUAUUUAUGAUCUACAAUGUCAUAAAAUAAAUUAAUAGAAAUUAAAUAGUUUUACGUUGAUUUCAAUUGAAAAUAAUUUUUUAAAGAAUCUUUAUUGUAAACAAAUUGUUAAUGAUUUGCAGCAAAAAAAUGCAAUGAGGAUGAUAUUCAAAUUAAGAUUAAUAUGUGGAUGAAUGUUGUUGUUAAUAUUAGAUGUUACUAUUACAUAUUCAGGUGGAUAGAUAUAUGUAUAAUUAAUUUUGCUAUAAUAUAAUUUUGGUUUUGGUCUGAUAAGAACUUUUUCAAUGCUUAUAUAAUAUUUAGCUUUUAUGUGGAAGACUAUCUACAAUUUGAAUAGAGUAUUAAAUUUAUAAACUCGUACAGAACAAUCAAAAUCUCAUAGACAACCUUAUCACUGUGUUAUUUUUCGUGAUAUAUUAGUGCAUCUAACGGAACUUGUUGACACAUGAGACAUUUUGUUUGACUUUAGACAAAAUAGAUUAACUUUUUAGUAUAUCGUAAAAUUUGAGUAUGCAUUUUUUUUAUAAUCAUUUACAAAUUUAAAGGAAGGAAUUUGUGAUUAAGUCAUAAAUAAUCAUCUAUCAAUCAAAGUCGACUUAUAGCCCUUUCAAAAUGGAUCAUCACACAUGAUCUCAAAAUUUAAAGUCUCUAAAAAUUAAUUAUAUAGUAUCACUAUUUAUAAAUUAUUAAAUAUUUUAAGUCUAUCGGUUGAGAAAGAAAGACGUGAACAGUUUAACAAAACAAAGGCGACGAAUCACGCCACACUUGACUUAGAGCAACCAAAUGAACCAAUCAAUAAUUGUAUCGCCAGAAUACGUGUGAUGAAAACGAUGUCUACGUGGAACAAGUCCAAGGGUAGGCUGUGGUCCCAGACAACACAAGAUUAUGACACGCGGACGGUCAAGAUUUUACUGAUUAUUCUCUAGCGCAUUAUAAAUUGGGGUCACCGAACAUCAGUUAAGGUAAACAAGUUCCCACCUAGAUUGUUCUUUUUGCAAAUUGUGUUGUGUGAUUUUAUCUGUCUUUUGAGAAUAUGUCUGGCUGCAACUGUGGAAGUAGCUGCAACUGUGGCGAUAGCUGCAAGUAAGGACCACCUUAAUUUUUUCUUGUACUGUUUAUUUCUUAUCUUUAUUAUCAUGAUUAAUGAAAAAGAUUAUUCUUAAUAUUUAGAUUUUUUUUUUCAAAAUCCUUUUGGCUGGGUUUUAUGAAGGAUGCUUCAUUUAUUUCUUUUUUUCUACCUGUUUUUUUUUUCUGACGCGGUUUUUUAUUUUUUAUAUUUUAAAUUGGCCUUCUGGUUACCUAGCUAAUUUUGAUGAAACUUGAUGAGUGCUUAGGAGAGUUUUUUUUUUUUUUUUUUAACAACUUAGGAGGGGAUAUUUAUUGUGAGUGUUUCACAAACUUAUGAAGAUAUUUUCGUGAGUUUUUUUUUCUUCUGAAAUAGCUUAUAUUAAUAAUUAAUUGGAAAAAUACGAAAAUAUUAAAUAGUUAAUAUCCAUGAAGCUCUUAAAUAACACACAAAUUUUGUUUUUAACUUUUAAAAUUAUUCAUUUUUGUAAUUUAACUUUUGUUUCAAUUUUUAUUUAUUUAAAUUUUGACACAGACUAUUAGGGUAUAAUCUAUAAAUUCAUAUUUUAAUAAUCUUUCUUUUUAAUUAUAUAGUACUGAAAAGAUAAAAUUUUGACUUUAGCACAAUGGAAAUUCAAAACAUUCAAUUUUUUUUCUCUAAUAUUUAUUGCCUAAUAAAUUUUUUUGUACUUUUGUUUUAAUUGUCCUAAGUACUAGUACUUUUUUUGUUCAAGUUUACAUUUCACAAUUCAUGUAUAUAAAAAUGUUAACUUUUGUUGCUUCACAGAUGCAACAAGAGAUCAGGAUUGAGCUAUGUCGAAGCCGGCGAAACCACAGAGACGGUGGUUUUGGGCGUUGGUCCGACAAAGAUCCAUUUCGAGGGAGCUGAAAUGAGUGUUGCAGCUGAAGAUGGUGGCUGCAAGUGUGGAUCAAGCUGCACAUGUGACCCUUGCAACUGCAAGUGAGGUGCUUAUAACAAAUGAAAGCUUGAAGCAGAUAUGUGUAAUUGUGUGUAUGGUAUGGUACACAUAUAAUGUAUAAUAAGAAUGUGUGUUUGCUUUGUUAAAAUGUUAAAGUGGUCACGGAUCUCACCUUUAGCAAAUUGAAAUGUUAUAAUUAGAUUUUGUCGAAGGUGAUAUCAGAGAAUUGUUGUCUUUCAUGUGUAAGCAAAUAUAGCUAAUAUGAAUCAUAAUUCUCUGCUUCUUCAAUGAAAUAAAUCUUUGCUUAUCAUAGCUUGGUUUUAGAAGUUUUUUCAGUUUUUGAAAAAUCAAAAUAUAAAAAUAAUCUAAAAACUACUUUUAAUGAGAAGUUCUUGGAACUAUUUUGAUUUGAAGAACAAUAGUUUCCUAAUUAUAUUUGAUGAUAACAAUAUAUAUAUAUAUAUAAUUAAAAUCUAUCAAAAUAAGGAUUUUAGAAAUUUUAACAUAUCAAAUCUAUCACUAAGGAGUUUUAAUUAAGAUAAGAGUGGUGGACAAAAGAGAUAAUAUAGAAAAUAUUCAAAGGGCAAUAAGGAGAAUUUCUCUCCAUUUUCCCUCAUUUAUUCCUUCAAAGAGAAAAAGACUCAAUCAUUCGAUUCGCUCUCUCCCGUGUCCUAAACUUCAAAGAAACCUUCCAUUGGUACUCUUCAUCGCCUCUCUCAAAUACUCUAUUUCUCAUUCUUUUUCAAAACCACCAAAAACAUUAGUUUACUAAACUUCAUAACGUCGGACCUGCCCAUGCAUUCGCUCUCUCCCGUGUCCUAAACUUCAAAGAAACCUUCCAUUGGUACUCUUCAUCGCCUCUCUCAAAUACUCUAUUUCUCAUUCUUUUUCAAAAUCACCAAAAACAUUAGUUUACUAAACUUCAUAACGUCGGCCCUGACCCAUUGCAUGGGCAGGUUCAGCGUUCAACUUUCAAUAGUUGACCAAAUCACAUUGAAGAGAAAACAAGCAACAAGGAAAAACUCCAAAACAAUUGGAAUAAGAUGCGAAUACUAAAGAGGAAAAUAGAUAACUACUCCAAAUCAACUCAAAUCGAAUAGGAUAACUUUCAUAGAAUAAUGUGAGUUAUGUUACAUUAACUUCUUUUAACAUGAUGAUUAUGGGAAUUAAUUCUCUAAAACUCUUUAAUUCUUGUCAAAAGUUGUUUUGGUGGAAUUACGGGUUAGAAGAAUUUAGAGCGUUAGGAAAUGAAUUUUUUAGCAUAUAAGUGUUUUGAAAUUGCACCCAAAUGAUUUUAAAUGUCAUACACGUUGUUCGUUUGAUCUUUGUAUAAUUGUUGUGUUAAAUUUUUUGGAACUCUUGGGAUUUUGAGUAAAGAAUUGUAGUUUAAUGUGUAAAUCCUAUCACUGAAGGCAAAUGUGUGUGUCUUAGAAGCUCUUUGACUCUUGUCUCUAUAGUUUUGCCUCUAGGUGUCAUUUUGUAACCUUGGGGUUUUUGUCUCUGAUUGUUGUUUUAAAAACCUAAGUAUUUUUACCUUCGAUAAUUCUUUUCUAUUUGCUACCUCUGAUUCCUAACUCAUGAUUUUCGACAUUCUACCUCUGAUGAAUAAUUUAUGUUUUUUGGUAUGUUGCCUCUAAUGCUGUUUCUCAACUCUGAGCAUUUUUGCCUUUAGGUUUUCCUUCUGUUUUUACCUUUGGUAGCUGUUUUAUUAUUUGUUGUAUUUUGCAUCUAGUAAAUUAUUUUUGAUUUUGCCUCUAGUGAAAUGCUUCUAUUUUGCCUCUGAUAAUACUCAAGCUCCUCUGAUCAGGCUUUCUUUUAUCCAAGUUUCUCUUAUCAAAAUGCAUAUGAUGCACGUAUCUUCUAAUCAUGCUGCCUUUAGUCCAAGUUCUUCUGAUCAUGCUACCCCUUAUCCAAGUUCCUCUGAUCACACUACAUCUAAUCUAAGUUCUUAUGAUUCUUCCUCUUGACACGUAUUCUUUGAUUCUUCAUUUGGACGCGUAUCAUCCAAUUCUUCCUCUAAAUGUGUAUCCUCUGAUUCUUCCUCUGAACGUGUAUCCACAUAUUCUUUCUCUAGACAUGUAUCCUCUGAUUCUACCUCUAGAUGUGUAUCCUUUGAUUAUUCUCUGAUUCUUCCUUUCUAUGUUUAUCCUCUAAUUCAUCCUCUAACUCUGUGUUUGGUCACAUAUCUUCUGACUCCGAUUAUGUUGCCUUUGACCUAUAUACUUCUAGUUAUGUUGCAUCUGGUUAGAGUUUUCCUUUGGUUCCAGCUUUGAUCUGGAGUUUAGAUUUAAUUCCCAGUUGAUUUUCAAUAUAUUUUUAAGUUAUUAUAAGUGUUAUGGGGUAACGAUGCAUUGCAAAUAUCAUACUAUCAAGGGCAUUGCAUACAUAACAUCUCAAGUGCAUUACACUCUUAUUAAUCAGAUCAUGCAAGGUCUUAUUUACGUGGGACAUUUAGGUUUGUUCUAGGCAUGGAAUAAUAGGUAGAUGAGAACAAUCAGGACGCUGGUUAGAGUUUGGUCUGACAUCAUUUACCAAUCAAGACUCAAUUAUCUUGGUGACAUACAUUAAGAUAUUGAGUGAAUCUUCCUUGUUUCAAGGAAAAAAAUUUAGGUCAUGCAUAGUUUUCAAAAUCAUAAUGAAAGAAUGAUUUCAGUUAAGCUUUUAUGAAAAAUUGAAGUUAAGAGCUCCAUCAUGAGAUGCAUCAUAAUUUUAUAUUUUUAUGCAUAUUUAUGAAUAAAUCUUUUUAAACUACUCCUUCCUUUAUUUUUAGAUCUCAGUAAGCUUUUUAUCUCACCUAUUUUAUUUUUUAUACAUUAACAACUGAAGGUGACUGAUGCUCAGUUCCAGUACUAGAACAUGAUAUGCAAGCUCUGUUUUGUACUUAGUGCUUUAUUUUUUUUAUUUGAUGUAACAUGAUGUAUUAGGGAACAUUUUUAUAAUUUCAGUAUUGUUGCUGUAAUUUAAUCAAAUAGUUCAUUAUAUUGAGUUGUAAACUAUGUUGUUUAAAUGUAGUUACAAGUUAUUUUAAUGAUACUUAUUAUUGAUUUGUAAUAGUUGUUUUUCUUUUAUUGAGGUGUAUGGUUUCAAUUGUCAAAUUCUAGAUAAUUAAUAAUGGAUCUUAAAAAUUUAAAAUUAUUUAUAAAUAAUUUAAAAUUAUAAUAAAUAAAUUAUUUUAAAUUAUUUACUUUAAAUUAGUAUUUAUUAAAAUUCUUUUAAAAUUUAUAUUAUAUAAGUUGUUUAUUUACAUUAUUUAAAAUUAUAAUAAAUAUAUUAUAAGGGGUAAAAAUGAAUUAUAGGCAUAAUAAUAAAGAUAAAAUUAAAAGAAAAAUAGUAAACUAAAAUCUAUAAAUUUAUAAGCUUCUUGAAUUGACUGAUAUAAAAUCGUUAUAAACUAUAAUCUAUAAGUCCAUAAAUGACUGUUAUCAAACAGACUUUAUAACUUAUAAAUUAUAAACUCUUUUGUUGGACUUACCAAAAAGAGGAAAAUUUUAUACUAUAUUCUUAUGUUUUAUACAAUCUAUCUAUUUUACUCUUUUUUUUAAAAAAAAAAUACUUUUUUUCUACUCUGCUAAAUAGUUUAUUUCAAAUUUUCCUAAAUGUUUCAAAAAUUUUGAAUUUUGUGUAUCGUAAAUUUUUUUAAAAAUUUUUCAGUAAACAAAUAUAUUUUUAAAAAAUUGAUCUUUAUGUAUAAAAAUUGGAAAUUUGAAACUUUUUUAAAAUUUUUUUUUUAAAACAAAACAUAAGAUUUUACUUUUUUAUAAAAAAAAAUAAAAUAAAAAGAAAAAUUUAUUAAUUUGUUGGGGUUGAAAAAUCUGGAGUAAAGUUUUUCAUAAAGAUGCAUGAGGUAGAAGAUAAGCCAAGUAAUUUACUCUUCUCAGUCGGCUGAACUUAAAAUAAAUUAUCCGCGAUUAGAUAUUAACUUUUAUGUUAAAAAUACUCGUUCGUCAUUAUCAAUCGCUAUUAAAAUAAUUCCUCAACAAGUAAUCAUCUAUUAGCGAAGAAACAUAGGAGUGAGUUAUUUACCAAACGAACGCGACGAAUCAUGCUACACUUGACUUAGAGAAACCAAGCAAUAAUUGUAUCGCCAAAAUACGAGUGAUGAAAACGAUGUCUACGUGGAACAAGUCCAAGGGUAGUCUGUGGUCCCAGACAACAUUAGAUUAUGACACGUGGACGGUCUAUAUUUCACUUAUUAUUCUCAAGCGCAUUAUAAAUUGGGGUCACGGAAUAUCAGUUAAGGCAACAAGUUCUCACCAAUAUUGUUCUUUUUGCAAAUUGUGUUGUGAGUGAUUUUAUCUUUGUCUUUUGAGAAUAUGUCUGGCUGCAACUGUGGAAGUAGCUGCAACUGUGGUGAUAGCUGCAAGUAAGGACCACCUUAAUUUUUUGUUAUACUGUUUAUUUCUUAUCUUGGAAAAUAUUCUUAAUAUUUUGAUUCGUUUUUUCAGUUCUAUUUGCUGGCUUCUACGAAUUUUGUUUUGUUUUUAAAAAAAUUGAAGAAUGAGACAUUAUUAUUAUCUAUUGAUGUUACAUAGUUAAUGCUUGAUUUUUUCUCUACAUGAGAUUAUUUUUAUUGUUAAAAGAAAUAUAAGAUUUCACUUUUUUUUUGUCUUAUCGUAAUUAUUACUCUAAAGAGAUUUUUAUAUUCGAAUUUGACACACACAAUAAGUUCAAUCUAAAAAUAUCUAACUUUGACGAAAAUUAAAGAAAAUGAAAAAUAUAUUUUUUUUUUAAUUCUAAUAGCUAUUGAUAAAUAAAUUAUUUUCUCUAAUUCAAGUUUUAUAUUUCAAAUUGUGUGUGUGGAUGUUAAUUUUUAUUGCUUCACAGAUGCAACAAGAGGUCUAGUGGAUUGAACUAUGCCGAAGGCGGCGAAACCACAGAGACGGUGGUUUUGGGCGUUGGUCCGACGAAGAUUCAGUUCGAGGGAGCUGAAAUGAGUGUUGCAGCUGAAGAUGGUGGCUGCAAGUGUGGAUCAAGCUGCACAUGUGACCCUUGCAACUGCAAGUGAGGUGCAUAUAGCAAAUGAAAGCUUGAGGCAGAGAUAUUGGAACCAAUAUGUGUAAUUGUGUGUAUCGGUACACAUAUAAUAUAUAAAAAAAAGCAUGUGUGUUUGCUUUAUUAGAAUAAUAAAGUUGUCAUGGAUCUCACCUUUAGCAAAUUGAAAUUUUCUAAUUAGAUUUUGUUGAAGGUGUUGUGAGAGCAAUGGUUGCUUUGUGUGUUGAUUUUCUUGUGUAAGCAAAUUUAGCUAAUAUGAAUCAUAAAUCUCUGCU
rnacentral:lncRNA from 1 species